GGCUACCGCUAUUGGAGUUCGAUUAAGCCAUGCGAGUCUAGAGGCCUAGCCUCGGCGUACCGCUCAGUAACACGUGGGUAACCUACCCUAUGCUGGGGGAUAAGCUCGGGAAACUGAGAAUAAUACCCCAUAGUCCACUACGCCUGGAACGGUGAGUGGAUCAAAGCUCCGGCGGCAUAGGAUGGGCCUGCGGCGUAUCAGGUUGUAGGGGGUGUAACGUACCCUCUAGCCAUCCACGCGUACGGGUGUUGGGAGACAUUGCCCGGAGAUGGAUUCUGAGACACGAAUCCAGACCCUACGGGGUGCAGCAGGCGCGAAAACUUGGCAAUGCGAGAAAUCGUGACCAGGGAACUCCAAGUGGCUGGGGUAAGACCCAGUCUUUUCUUGACUCUUCAAAGGUCUUGGAAUAAGGGGUGGGUAAGGACGGUGCCAGCCGCCGCGGUAAUACCGGCGCCUCAAGUGGUAGUCGAUUUUAUUGGGCCUAAAACGUCCGUCGCCUGUUUGGUACAUUCGUGGGUAAAUCAACCAGCUCAACCGGUUGAAUUCUGCGAGCACGGCCAGACUUGGGACCGGGAGAGGUGUGGGGUACGCUCAGGGUAGGGGUAAAAUCCUGUCAUCCUGAGCGGACCACCUGUUGCGAAGGCUCCACACUAGAACGGAUCCGACGGUCAGGGACGAAGCCUAGGGGCACGAACCGGAUUAGAUACCCGGGUAGUCCUAGGUGUAAACGCUGUGGACUUGGUGUUGGGAAGGUUCCGAGCCUUCUCAGUGCCGAAGCGAAGGUGAUAAGUCCACUGCCUGGGGAGUACGGUCGCAAGGCUGAAACUUAAAGGAAUUGGCGGGGGAGCACCGCAACCUGAGGAUUGUGCGGUUU
rnacentral:rRNA from 1 species